AGAGUCUGCUCGGCUAAGAGAAAGUGAAGAAACCUGUUUGGGACAGCAGUAGGGUGGGCGUGGGCUGGGCACUGCCAGGAACUCUGCAGCAAGACCAGUUUCCAUUGCUUCCGGACCGGAUGCAGGGCUGCGAUCCGGGCGGAGACCAGAGAAUUUUGCCCGGGAGCGCACCUGUAGGUCCUUCUGAACGACGUCGCCAGGGCAUGUCCAUACGAGUAUUUCAUUACCAUUCUAAAAGUGUUAUCGGACUUCGUUGCCUCCUUCUUCACCAACCUAUGAUCGAUCAGCCUAAUAAAUGGAGUUGCCACGGUCAUGGUGCCUCUUCAGUGAGGAGAACACUCACAGUAGGGGAGGAGCAGAUCUUCUGAAUGGAAGUCAACUCCUUCCAGGACUACCUGUUGUUGUUGUUGUUAUGGCUGUUGUUUAAAUCAUUUCUCUCUCCCCUGGAGAGUCACCAGCCUGGAGAAGAUCUACAGGAGAGCAAUAUCACACCAGGAGAUACUCUACAGGGAGCAGAGUCCCUCCCUUCUUGGUCUGUUGGACUAUUGAGACAGUGCACCCAAGAACAAGAAUUUGCCUAUGGACCUCAUGUUGUGAGGGGAAGACUGAGGCUCUGUGCCAAUGGAGGAGGAGCUUGUCUUCUCAGAAGAGACACCAUACAGUCCUGACUUUUUUGACCACAUUCAAAAAGAGAGGGGGCAGAAACAAGGAUGGGUCUGUAAUGGGUGAUCUACUUAGUUCUGCAUGCCUCUUGCUCUCUUGUCCCUAGAACUCACGUCGGAGGAGGUGGAUUAGUAGGGUUGGCCCAAGGUUACUGUAACUGGACCUCUUUCCAAUGUGGCCACAUUGAAUACAUCUCUG
rnacentral:lncRNA from 1 species